rnacentral:lncRNA from 1 species
AUGUGCAGGCUGCCAUUUCACAGAAGUCUGAAGCUGCUUCAAGGGUGCUUGAGGAUACAGAACAAAGUGAACUGCCCUGAGUUAAAAAGAGGGAAGCAACUUGUGUGGCAGGUCUGCCACCAAGUUGCUGCAUGUCAGAGGGAUGAAAAACACCACGUGGGAGCUAUCAAAAUCCUGGUGAUGUUGCUUCAAGCCUGCUGUAAAGAACUGCACAGCUGUUACAAAGACACUUCUCUAGAGUUUUUAUUGCAGCUUUUGGAAUUAAACAUUCAUUUAAAUUUGUUACUGCUUUGUAAACUGUAGUAGUGCAUGUUGCGACUUGCCUCUUGGUCUCCCUCAGAGCUGUGGUAAAGAUGGUUUUUCAGUGUUAGAGAAGGCUCAGCUAAACUGAGAGCUUUAUCAGGUCUUCUCCCUCACUUCCCUGUCUCUGAACUGAACUGUACCAAAGCCCUGGACAGGUGUUCAUUCUGUACAGAAUAUCACAGCUCUGGGCUGCUGUCUGGGGUUAUUUCCUGGUGCUGCACUGAAAUGCCAGUAACAGGUUGAGGAAAUUAUGGCAGCUGAUAAAUCACCUGUGGGCUUGGUCUCUUCCCUUGAUACUCUGAGAAACAAGAACUGAUGUGUGUGAGCCUCAGCAGUCCUUGCAGAAUUGCCAUGGUGAAGUUGAGACUCCUCAGGCUCUACUGAUAAUCCCAGAACUACAAACAGCCCCGACCUGACUCCAUGGAGUUUACCAGCUGGUUCUGGCUUAUGGUUCAUUGCUGCAGUACAUGCAACUGCACCAGACUGAAAGAAAUGGGUGAUAAGAAGUGUAGAGUUAGUUCAUCAAAAAUCUGCUUUAGUAGAGUUCCCUUGGAACAGAUUUUGAGGAGGCUGCAAAAAUGAGUACAGAGCUGGAGCGCUUGUGAAAAAGCUCAGAGCUGGGGUUCAUCUUGGAGCAGAGAAGGCUCCAGGGAGAUCUUUAUAGAGCUUUAAGCAUUCCAAGGGCAUUGGACCAGAGGACCUUUAAAGGUCUCCUCCCCACCCCCAACUACUCGAUUACUUGCUGUGGUGCAUUUUAAACAGAAUGGGCAUUAAUGAAAAGCCCUUGGUACUGCACCCGUUAAUAACUUCAGUUUACAGCUAAAGUUGAGCUUUGAAUUUGUCCUUAAAAUGUGCUUAGCUCAGACAACUGGAAUAGAAAACAUGUCUUUGGAAGAAGUAAGAUUUUUUAGUUCUCCAAUUCAAGUGCUUUAAGAUGUAAUUGCAGGAAACCAUACUCUUAAAUCACAUAGUGCAAAAAAGAUUAAAAACUCCAGCUUUA